rnacentral:rRNA from 1 species
GUGGCGAACGGGUGAGUAAUGUAUCGGAACGUACCAUUCAGUGGGGGAUAACGUAGCGAAAGUUACACUAAUACCGCAUAUUCUGUGAGCAGGAAAGCAGGGGAUCGCAAGACCUUGCGCUGAUUGAGCGGCCGAUAUCAGAUUAGCUAGUUGGUGAGGUAAAGGCUCACCAAGGCGACGAUCUGUAGCGGGUCUGAGAGGAUGAUCCGCCACACUGGAACUGAGACACGGUCCAGACUCCUACGGGAGGCAGCAGUGGGGAAUUUUGGACAAUGGGGGCAACCCUGAUCCAGCCAUGCCGCGUGAGUGAAGAAGGCCUUCGGGUUGUAAAGCUCUUUCGGCCGGGAAAAAAUCGCAUAGGUUAAUACCCUGUGUGGAUGAUGGUACCGGAAUAAGAAGCACCGGCUAACUACGUGCCAGCAGCCGCGGUAAUACGUAGGGUGCGAGCGUUAAUCGGAAUUACUGGGCGUAAAGCGUGCGCAGGCGGUUUGAUAAGACAGGCGUGAAAUCCCCGGGCUCAACCUGGGAACUGCGUUUGUGACUGUCUCACUAGAGUACGGCAGAGGGGGGUGGAAUUCCACGUGUAGCAGUGAAAUGCGUAGAGAUGUGGAGGAACACCAAUGGCGAAGGCAGCCCCCUGGGUCGAUACUGACGCUCAUGCACGAAAGCGUGGGUAGCAAACAGGAUUAGAUACCCUGGUAGUCCACGCCCUAAACGAUGUCAACUAGGUGUUGGGAGGGUAAAACCUUUUAGUACCGUAGCUAACGCGAGAAGUUGACCGCCUGGGGAGUACGGCCGCAAGGUUAAAACUCAAAGGAAUUGACGGGGACCCGCACAAGCGGUGGAUGAUGUGGAUUAAUUCGAUGCAACGCGAAAAACCUUACCUACCCUUGACAUGUUCAGGAGUCCGAAGAGAUUUGGAUGUGCUCGAAAGAGAACUGGAACACAGGUGCUGCAUGGCUGUCGUCAGCUCGUGUCGUGAGAUGUUGGGUUAAGUCCCGCAACGAGCGCAACCCUUGUCGUUAAUUGCCAUCAUUUAGUUGGGCACUUUAACGAGACUGCCGGUGACAAACCGGAGGAAGGUGGGGAUGACGUCAAGUCCUCAUGGCCCUUAUGGGUAGGGCUUCACACGUCAUACAAUGGUCGGUACGAAGGGUUGCCAACCCGCGAGGGGGAGCUAAUCCCAUAAAGCCGAUCGUAGUCCGGAUCGUAGGCUGCAACUCGCCUGCGUGAAGUCGGAAUCGCUAGUAAUCGUGGAUCAGCAUGUCACGGUGAAUACGUUCCCGGGUCUUGUACACACCGCCCGUCACACCAUGGGAGCGGGUUCCGCCAGAAGUAGGUAGCCUAACCGCAAGGAGGGCGCUUACCACGGCGGGGUUCGUGACUGGGGUGAAGUCGUAACAAGGUA